UUAUCGUUUAUUUGAUAGUACCUUACCACUUGGAUAACCGUGGUAAUUCUAGAGCUAAUACAUGCUAAAAACCCCAACUUCGGAAGGGGUGUGUUUAUUAGAUAAAAAACCAAUGCCCUUCGGGGCUCUUUGGUGAUUCAUGAUAACCUAACGGAUCGCAUGGCCUUGCGCCGGCGACGGUUCAUUCAAAUUUCUGCCCUAUCAACUUUCGAUGGUAAGGUAUUGGCUUACCAUGGUUUCAACGGGUAACGGGGAAUUAGGGUUCGAUUCCGGAGAGGGAGCCUGAGAAACGGCUACCACAUCCAAGGAAGGCAGCAGGCGCGCAAAUUACCCAAUCCCGACACGGGGAGGUAGUGACAAUAAAUACUGAUACAGGGCUCUUUUGGGUCUUGUAAUUGGAAUGAGUACAAUUUAAACCCCUUAACGAGGAACAAUUGGAGGGCAAGUCUGGUGGACAUUCAGCUCCCAUUCUGCUGACGCCAGAGAUAGUCGGGCACCUCUACGAGGUGUUAUGCCGGCUAGUCGAUGUACCCGAUCAUUUGAUGGGGGGGUACCGGCAAGACAACCUGGAUCGGGGAAGGCUAAGGCAUCGAACGAGAUGCUAUGCUAAUCCCGAGCAGAGCUGCCACGGAGCGAUCUGUGAACAGCCUGUGUAGAGCACGCUAAGGUGUCGGCCAGCUCACGUAGUUGGCUUAAGGGACGUGCCAUUCCCAUCCGAAAGGGUGGCUACCAGCAAUAGCGCCCAUCACGCGAAGGUUGGUAGGUUCGAACAUUUCCAGGGCUUUGCACCUGCCUAAUGUUUGAAGUUAAAAAUA
rnacentral:rRNA from 1 species